AUAUAUAUCAACCUUCUCUCUUGUAGUGAGUGGUUUGGAUGUGGGGGGUUUUGCUGGCCUCUUUUAAAAAAAAGGUUCAGCUCUCCUGAAAUGCAUUAGCAGAACAACCCUGUUCAUUGGUGUGAUAACUAUCUGCGCCAUUGAAUGUGAAAGGCAGUUCAGCUUUCUAACGGUCCUUGGACAAUUCAUUAUUA
rnacentral:misc_RNA from 1 species